UACGUAGGGGGCAAGCGUUGUCCGGAUUUAUUGGGCGUAAAGCGCGUGUAGGCGGCUAGGUAGGUCCGCUGUGAAAACUUGAGGCUCAACCUCAAAAGGUCGGUGGAAACCAUCUGGCUAGAGUCCGGAAGAGGAGAAUGGAAUUCCUGGUGUAGCGGUGAAAUUCGUAGAUAUCGAGAGGAACACCGGUGGCGAAGGCGGCCUUCUGGACAGUGACUGACGCUGAGACGCGAAAGCGUGGGGAGCAAACAGG
rnacentral:rRNA from 1 species